AGGUGGGCGGGAGGCGCGCCGCUGUUGCGCCUGUGAGGAUCCAGAGGUGGGUUGGGUGGUGUUGGCAAGAGCGCACCCUCUCUCUACAAGGUGAUAGAGAUAAAGGUUGGUGAAUGAGGUGGGAGCCGACUCAAGAUCCAAAGGAUUUCUUGCGGGAGAAAACCACAGUUAAGCCCCGCUCUUGCUGAGACAACACUGAAAUUGCCUCAGCUCAGCCACGCCCUUUCUCUUUUUACCUUCUCGUUUUUCUAGCUGCCUUUUCUUGGAGACUUUCCUUACAGACCUGUCUCUCUGUCGUCUCUGCUCCCUGCUUUAGUGGCUCUUCCAGCUCUAUCCUUCCUCAGGGCAGUGGAAUUUGUUCGUGAGAAGUUUCUUCAUUACAGGUACCAGCUAAAGCCAGAAGGACAUCUACCAAGAGCAGAGAAACCGGCAAGAGAAUUCUGCCUAUUUAAUACAUUCCAGUAUGGAGGGUUUCCAUUUAGAUUAAAAAGUAUAUGUCAUCAGAUGGAAAAAAGUCAAACUCCCGUAUACCUUCUAAUGUUGUGCUGUUUUUGUUUUUUUUUUUCCAAAAGACAACUCCCAUAUACCCUCAAAAUGUUGUGUUGUUUUCUGUACCUAUAAACUCUCUAUUUGGUUAUGCAUAGUACUAAUGGCAGGCUUGAAGUGCAUAUACAGAGUACCUUUAACCCAGAAAUUCAUCUCACAAUUUAGGGAUCCUUGCUUAAGUCUCAACUGUAUCUGCAAUUUCAUCUGUGGGAUCUCUUUUUGCCAUAGGGUCUAGUUUUGUCGUAAAGCUGGAAUUGGAAUGGGAGACUAGGAAGCUUCAGAAGAACUUAAGAAAAUUGGGUUGGCAGGGGUGGUUAGAGAUGUUAAGUUUUACCUUCCUUACCAAAGUACCUGAAGAGCACAGAUACCCAAGCUAUAAAUGGUCGAAAGAUCCUGAGAAUCAGAGUUCCCAGCUAUCUAAAAGAAGCAUGCAUAGGGCAGUUACUCUAUAUUAGUUUUCACUUUAAAUUUUAUUGGGAGAUGCAUAGUGUGACAGUUAAAAAAGAUGUAAGAAUCAUAAGUACUAACACUGGAAACAGCUGGAGGUGGAGUGGGGCUGGGAAAUAUUUUGUGAAACAGAUCCUGCUGAGGUUGAAUCCAGAACUUCGCUGAGGGUUCGUUCCACUUCUGCUGUAUGGAACACGGUUGGAAAUUGACAAGCCCCAGGGCACUGCAGAUGGUAACUGGGAGAGAGGAAUUGGAGUCUGUCGGCAGGUGUGUCUGUGGAAAGCAGCUGCGAUCCUUGAGGAAGAAAAAGUGGAGAAGGAAAGUGGCUAUAAGUCUGUCAGUGACAACACAUCCUGCUAAGUCUUACUCUCCUUUCUGACACUGUGGGUCUUACAUCUGCCCUAGACCUGGCAGCCUCAUUGAGGUUCACAAAGCAUCUCCUAUGUGGCAGUAAGACUGAAAUUAUUAGGUUGGAAUCCAUUCCUGCCAGAGUAAACGAAAGGAAAUCACAGUGUUUGUUAUCUGCUGAUCAUUUUAAAUAGAUCAUGGGGUUCUGUGUUCCUUAUUUGGUAUAUGGCAAGUUGAUAAAUAACUCUUGGUUAAUAUCCUUUAAUGUUUCUGUUACAGUGUGAAAAAUCUGUUAUAAGUAAUUUUUUUAAGAUUAAAAUGCAUGCAUGUUUUAAAGCUGCAACCUCCCAGUCUUUUUUUUAAUCCCACAGAGUAAUUAUAAUGUUGUGUAAGGUUACAUGCCUUGAAGUAGAGGAAUUUACCUAUUUCCAUUACUUAAAAUAGAUGAGGGUCUUAGACAAAGGUACAAAAAAAGGGGAAACUAAUGAAAGGGGGGAGAAGAUGUGGAUGAUGGAGAUUAAGAAGAAAUUUGGUUGUUUUUGUCAAGGGAGUUAGGAGUCGAAUCUUUGAUUUAAAAAAAUCUUGGUUGCUCACUAUUCAGGCUUUGUGAUGAGUUGUCCUGAGUGAGAACUGUUCCCUAGUACUUAAGAACACUAACAAAUAGUUACCUCGUCCUUCAGGACCUCCACCUAUCUGGAACGUUUUCGACCAUUAAGACCUAUCACUUUCUUGAAGUCUAGCUCCAUAUUCUUUGCAAAAUGUUUUCCAGAUUAGCUCCCCUGAUAAAUUUCCACUGCUUUUUCUUACUUUAGUAAAUAUAAUAACUUACGCUUUCUUGUGCAGUGCCUUUGUAAUCCCCCCACCUCUGCGCAAUGUAUAUUGUUUUCCUAAUUAGACAUAAAUGCCUGGGACCUUCUUGUGUUGCCCACCCUCUUCCCCUUGAGAAAUACCAUUUAAAGGAAUGUUGUGGACAAAAAUCACUUCAGUUAAACUGCCCUUAAAAUAAUUUAUGGACAAAAAUGUUAGCCGUAGGAAUACUUAUCAUCAUAAAAAAUUAGGAAAAAUCUUUAACAAUUAGAGAUUGGUCAAAUUCUAUCAUAUAUACUUAGUGGAAUAUUAUCUAGCUAUUUUUUAAAAGCCAUUAAACUGGCCUUUCUAAUGGAAAAUGUGACCAGUAUGAUUGCUUUGACAUGAAAAAACUAAGUAUAGAACAAAGAGUAAAAAAGGAAGUAACAAAAAUAUAUCAAUCAUCGUUACUGGAAUUACCACUCUAAAACAACCUUUCUGUAAGGGGGUAAUUUUUUUUUUAUUUUUUUUACUUAGGAAUAGAUGAAAGGAGCUUUUUUUCCCCCAAAAAAAUUUAUGCUUUGUAACAUCCACCUAUAUUACUCUCACCUUUCUAAUUUGGGAAAAACAUACAAACACACAUGUUCUUCAGAAGUGUAUUGCAACUUUUUGAUAGUUCAGUAGCCUCCCUCUGAAACUUUUCUCUAUUGUUAUUAUAGUUAUAUCUAAGACUGUACUACAUAUCUGACUGGUGGAAAAACUCCUGCAAAUUUUACACAAAUUAUACAGUGCACAUUUUCAAGGAUUACUAACGUACAUAAAUGAGAUCUUGAUAUCAUUUGAUACCUUUUGGUAUCAGGAAGGUCUUUAAACAGCCACCACGGAGAGCAAUAAAACCGUUAGAAAAGUUUAAAACCUAAGUUAGCUUUAUUCAUUCUUUAAGUAUUUGAGUAUCCACUCUGUCCUAGUCACUGUUCUAUACUUGGGGAAACUGUGAUAAAUAGAGCAGACAUGGUCCCUACUACAUUUUAGUGAUAACAGACCAUAAAUAAAUAAACAAGAAAAAUAUAAGUUAGUAAUAGUGCUAGGCAGAGAAUUAACGUAGAUGAAUAUUUUAGAUUAGGUCACUAAGGAAAACUUCUAAAAGUGUGUUUUUAUUUAAACUGCUAUUUGACAGGAGAAUCCAGCUUUGCAGAAAUUGAGGAAACCGUUGCUUGCAGAGGGGACAAAAAUGCAAAACCCUGAGGCAUGAACUAUCUUGGAAUAUUUUGGGAACGAAAAAAAGGCCUGCCUUGUUAGAGCAUAGUGACUACAAGAAGACAGAGCAACUAGGGAACCUAAUUCUGACCAACAAGGAGGAAUUGCUUGGCUAAUUGGAAGUGACAUAAACCUUGAGAGAAAACAACCACAUACCAAGGAUAAUUAUAAGAAGACUGAAGAGAAGACAGAGAAGAGGAGGCAGUGUGACAACGAGGCUAAGAUUGGAGUAAUACAGCCACAAGUGAAGGAAUACUGACCAGCUCUACCAGACGCCGGGGGAAACAAAAAUCAGAUUCUCCCCUAGGUCCUCCAAAACUGCGGCCCUGCUGACGCCUUAAUUUCAGACUUCUGGCCUCAGAACUGCCAUUUCAGCUCAAUGUCAGGAAACACUUUCUAAUGGAAUGGGGCAAGGAAUGAGUGAAUUUCCAGUCACUUGAAGAAUUCAAGCAUAAAUUGUCACCUACUUGACUGGACAUAGAAGAGAUUCAAGCAUCAGAAGUAUGACUUUUGGAAUAAAUGGUCAAAUGUGAAAGUAAAUUCAGAGAACCCUGAGGUAUCAUUCAGAUGGAGUUACCAGAAGAAGGAAGCAAUCUGGAAUGUUGAGCCACUACAUGAAGGGCCGCCCUGGAGAAACUCCUGGACUCUUAGCAGAUUUGCCUGAUUCCCCCACACUGAAUAGAGAUGACGUGUGAAUAAGAUAUUCUGGAAAUGAAGACAGUGCCAUCCAAGGAUAAGUCUUAAAAGAUAUUGCAGACCCUGCAUUUUUCUCUCUUGGUUUAUCUAUUCUGAAGGAAGUCAGCCACCAUGCUGUGAAGCUGUUACGGAGAGAUCCAUGUGGGGAGGAACUCAGGUCUCCUGCUGGUAGUCAACUAACUUGCCAGCUUUGUGAGCGACUCAUCUUAGAAGUAGAUUCUCCAGGCCUAGUCAAGCCUUUGGGUAACAACAGCCCCAGCCAACAUCUUGACUCAUGAGAGACCCCGAACAAAAACUACCCAGCCAAUUUGAUUUAUCCCUAAUCUACAGAAACUAUGAGGUAAUAAAUAUUUAUUGUUACUUUAAGUCACUAGGUUUUGAGGUAAUUUGUUAUGUAGCAAUAGAUAUCUAAUACAUCAUAGUACAUAAAAGGACAGAGAGCUGGAACUUAAUUGAACUUAUAGAAGAGAUUGUAUGAACUGUUGCGUGUAAGCCUCCUUGUUAAUUACUUUUUAAAAUGUCUGUUUAUAUGACGGAAUUUGGUCUAAUACUUGCUUGCACUGUGACUUAGUAAAAAAGCUAUGUCAGAGGAACCACCCCCUUCACUUAUGUCAAAAAUUGGUGGCUACUUUUAUCUGUCAAAAAGAACAAAAUAGUUGUGCGUGACCAAAUUGACUUAGCUAAUUUUGCAAGACAGGCCUAUUGAUUUUUCUGCCUACUACAGCUUGGCUCUAUCCAUUUCUCUUUAUCACCACCAUCAGUCCAGUCCAGACUACCUUCAUGUCUCACCCUGGACCACUAUAACAACCUUCUCACUCAUCUAGUCAUACCCAUUGAUCCUCUUCCAUCCCACCGUCAAUAUUAAAGUUAAAGUGAUCCUUUUAAAAUACAAAUCUAUUCAAGUAAUUCCACCACCACCCCUGCCCUUAUUUAAAACCUUUUAGGACUCAGAGAAGAUCAUAAGACAAAGACAUAGCCUAACAUAGCCUACCAAACUCCUGCCCGAUCUGGUCCUGCCAACCCUUUGAGUGUUGUCUUGAACUCUUCUCACUCUUGCUCUCUUUGAUUGCCCGUCACUGGCCUUCCUUCAAUUACUAGUACUUUUCCUGUUCCUACUCACAACAGAGAAUUUGUAUGUGGUGUUUCCUCUGCCUUGAAAUCUCUUCCUUUUCCUGUCUAGUUCAAGUCUGCCUAUCCUUCAUAUCUAGUGCAUGUGUCAGUUCUUCAGCAAAACUUCCCCCAAUCUCCCUGACUGACUCUCAUACAUUCCCAUCAUACAUUCCCUCCUUUGUGUACCUGUCACAUUGCAAUUUUACAUUUGUUUGUGUAAUUAUUUGAUUCAUGUUUGUGUUUACUGCUAUACAUUCUCUAAGAGCAGGUACCAUAUAUAGUUUAACUCAUUUAUGUAUGCCCUGGAGCCCAAGAACAUACUGCAUAUUUGAUAAAUAUUUGAUUAAAGACUUAAUAACUGAUUAACUAA